UUUGAUACAAUUACAGCUUACGGCGCACCGCCACCUAGCAUGUUAUACAACUGAAACAACGCGAAUUAUUCUACCCUACAAACGCCCGCACGAUAAUUCCAAUGCUAUCUUACAAAACUGCUCUCCGAAGACACGCAGAAUAAUUUCUAUACGGGUACUCCAUCAACUCCGUCAACGUGGACGUAUCCGGUUGGCUCCAUCGUAGCUUGAACCCGAGCAUCCGCAUAGAAAUAUCUACGCGGGCGGUAGGAGGAGCAGCACCGCCGGCCCCGGAGCUUAUCUCCGGCGGUUGUCAGCUUGGGGCCGAACCCUACCGCCGGUGCGGUGGCCGAACAGUAAGGACACGAGACGUGUAAGAAUUCCCUUCAAUAUCUUCCCCCGCUUCGGGACGUACCGGGGGUGCGUCCCCCGCCGGAGCUCCGGACUGCGGCAGCUGAGGUUCACCGGCAUAGCUUUAUUAUCUUCGUAUGGACUACGGCGGCGGCGGCGACGGCAGCGGCGGUGGCGCUAGGUUCGAAGGGAGCGACGACUGGAGGUGGUUGGUGGUCUCGUGCCGAG
rnacentral:lncRNA from 1 species